rnacentral:lncRNA from 1 species
AGAGACAUACAUAUAACAAGGACAAACUAAAAUUGAAUAAUUACAAGUCACUUAGCAAGCAGCACUGCUGAUUUCAUAAAAAGACCUAAUUAAUUAAUCAUCACUAAGAGAGUACAACACUGAGCAUUCUGUCACCAUAUUUUUAGUUAGCCAGCAAAAUACUCUUGGUGUACAUGUCUCUGUCUAAACCCUCCCUGAAAAACAAACAGCAUCUUCUCCAAAAUUAAGGUGCAGCUGCAGCAGCAGUCAUGAAUUUCGUGGUGAUGAUGAAAGUUGAAUCUGCUACUUAAAAACUUUAAUGUAAUUUUCAUGGUUUUUUUCCUUUUCUGGGAAGUAAACCCGAGAUAGGUAGAGAGAAACCGGUCGAACAUACAUACAUCUGCAAAAAAAACAAAAACAAAGAACCUCUUGGCAUACAUAAAUUUAACAAGAUUUUAGGUGAACAAGCAUACAAAUUAAAAUGGUUAAAGAAAAAGUCAAGACGACAACAAAAAGGGACACAAACAUAUAUAUAAGUGAAAAAUUACAAGUGUUGUUGUUUAGCAGCGGAAUAUUGUUUGAGAGGAAUGAAGCCUGGUCCGACGCCUUCACUCUCUUUGUGAAAUUUGUUGUGUUUAUUCAUCGUCAUCAAGAUAUCAAUCAUGAUGAUUAUGAAUAGAUAAACAAACAUAAGAGAGUGAUUGUGUCGAGCCAGACAACAUUCCCCUCAAACUCACCACACACAUAUAUAUAAAUUUCUUCUUCAUCGGACCAAAAACUCUACAACCCUAACCCUAUUUUUUAUUUUUUUUUCAGCCUUUGAGAGGCUUUGAGAAAGAAAGAGAGAGGAGAAAAGUAUAUGAUGAUUAGGUACUCAAAAACCCUACGGAGAAAAGGAGACCCAACCCUGCUAAUUUAUAGGGGGAGAUCGAUACACCCUCAUGCCACCUCACUUUUCAUUUUUUUUUUUAAAUUAUUACUAUGGCUAGGUCAUUUAAUACAAGGAAAUAGUAAGUACUUAAUUCUCCUCCCACCUAUUUUAGUUGUCGUGCUUGCUAUGAUAUGGCCGAAUAAUUGUUAUUUUAAAGAAUUCAAAUACGAUUAAUUAUUUAUUUCGAUCUUUAUCUUUAACUUAACAAGGAGAUGAAGUAAUGAAGAUUACGGUAUUUUGAUAUGGAGAGAAAAAC